rnacentral:rRNA from 1 species
AACGAACGCUGGCGGCAGGCUUAACACAUGCAAGUCGAACGCGUGCAGCAAUGCACGAGUGGCGCACGGGUGAGUAACGCGUGGAUAUCUGCCUUUUUGUUCGGAAUAACCCCGGGAAACUGGGGCUAAUACCGGAUGGUUCCUACGGGAUAAAGAUUUAUCGCCAAAAGAUGAGUCCGCGUCCGAUUAGCUAGUUGGUGAGGUAAUGGCUCACCAAGGCGACGAUCGGUAGCUGGUCUGAGAGGACGAUCAGCCACACUGGGACUGAGACACGGCCCAGACUCCUACGGGAGGCAGCAGUGGGGAAUAUUGGACAAUGGGGGCAACCCUGAUCCAGCCAUGCCGCGUGAGUGAUGAAGGCCUUCGGGUUGUAAAGCUCUUUUGGCGGGGACGAUGAUGACGGUACCCGCAGAAUAAGCCCCGGCUAACUUCGUG